rnacentral:rRNA from 1 species
ACGAACGCUGGCGGCGUGCUUAACACAUGCAAGUCGAACGGUGAAGCGCCUUCCUUUUUGGUGGGUGUGGAUGAGUGGCGAACGGGUGAGUAACACGUGAGUAACCUGCCCCCUUCUUCUGGAUAACCGCAUGAAAGUGUGGCUAAUACGGGAUAUUCUGGGUCUGUCGCAUGAUGGGUCUGGGAAAGAUAUUGUUUCGGUGGGGGAUGGGCUCGCGGCCUAUCAGCUUGUUGGGGGGGUGAUGGCCUACCAAGGCGGUGACGGGUAGCCGGCCUGGGAGGGUGGACGGUCACACUGGGACUGAGACACGGCCCAGACUCCUACGGGAGGCAGCAGGGGGGAAUAUUGCACAAUGGGCGCAAGCCUGAUGCAGCGACGCCGCGUGAGGGAUGGAGGCCUUCGGGUUGUGAACCUCUUUCGCCAGUGAAGCAGGCCUGCCUCGUUUGUGGGUGGGUUGACGGUAGCUGGAUAAGAAGCGCCGGCUAACUACGUG